rnacentral:lncRNA from 1 species
GCGAGGUCUGGCAAUGCGAGUAGUACGUGAUGCCGAACGUCACAUGAUCACAACUGAGCCAAUGGUUAGCAGUGAUUCCGUUAGUGAUAGUGAAAGUCAUCCUACACAACCCUCCUCUCCCAUCUGCCUCACACCAGCCAUGAAGAUUUUCAAAGAGCCAGAACUCUCAGAGAUAGUAAAAUGACCUUCAGUUGGAUUUCACACUGUCUGUUCAGCCACGGUAAGUAGUCAUGCUGAUGACCUUUAUACCUCAACCAUUCACAAGGUAAAGAGAAU